GAAAAACACUUCCUUAAAUAUGUUAGGUAGAGGCUAUUGAAAAUUAUUUUUAUAUUAAAUUCGACAUAUUUUAGUUAUAAAAACCCCAAAACAACUAAAUAUCCUUUUUAAACUUUUUUGUCAACAGCAACUAAAAUGGUACUUUUCCAAAAAGCAAGUUUCAAUCUUAAUGCCAAACAGGCUCACAACAGCCAGCAAAUAACACAAAAAGACUUGUGUGAGAUUCAGAGUUAAAAUAAGUGUCUCUGUUAUAGUACAAAUAUCAAGAGUCUGUUCUGCUGGUAUGACCAUGGGAGGAAAUACCAUGACUUAUAGAGAAUUGCAUCAUUGUUUCUAAACAUUAUGUAGCAAAACAUACUCAAUCAAGGGUAAGAAAUAAAGUCUUUCUUAAGGAUCGUCCUCAAAAUUUCUCAGAAAUUAUGGCCAAGUAUAGUAGAAGAAAUUAGAGGGUCAGAAAAAUACCUCAGGC
rnacentral:misc_RNA from 1 species